GUUAAAUACUUUUCAUUACACAUUUCUCCACUAUAGCAAUUUAGCAGUAUAUUCUCUCUUUUUAAUCCCGUUGGCUUUACCACUCAGAUUUCCUUCUUCUAUAUAGAAAUGGUACAGUGAAUUAUUUUCUAUUCUCUCUUUCCCCCCCGCCCUCCCCCCUAAUUAUGUUCCCAUGCUUUUCAGUUACUCCCUCUUAAUUAUAC